CAACUUUCGAUGGUAGGAUAGUGGCCUACCAUGGUUAUAACGGGUAACGGGGAAUUAGGGUUCGAUUCCGGAGAGGGGGCCUGAGAAAUGGCCACCACUUCCAAGGAAGGCAGCAGGCGCGCAAAUUACCCAAUCCCAAUACGGGGAGGUAGUGACAAGAAAUACCAAUACAGGCCCAAUGGGACUGUGUUUGGAAUGAGUGUAAUUUAAAAACCUUAUCAAGGAACGAUUGGAGGGCAAGUCUGGUGCCAGCAGCCGCGGUAAUUCCAGCUCCAAUAGUGUAUACUAAAGUUGCUGCAGUUAAAAAGCUCGUAGUUGGAAUUCGGUUAAUGAAUUGAUAGUCUAUAUUUUAUAUAUACGCACUGUUAAUUCAUUUCCUUUUUUUUAGGUUAAACCACUUUUAGUGAUUUUCCUAAAUAUUUUACUUUGAGAAAAUUAGAGUGUUCAAAGCAGGCGUAACUAAGCCUUUGAAUAUAUUAGCAUGGGAUAAUGAAAUAAGACUUUUUGCCUUAUUCUCGUUGGUUCAUAGGGCUAAAGUAAUGAUUAAUAGGGAUAGUUGGGGUCAUUAGUAUUUAAUUGUCAGAGGUGAAAUUCUAAGAUUUAUUAAAGACUAACUACUGCGAAAGCAUUUGACAAGGAUGUUUUCAUUAAUCAAGAACGAAAGUUGGGGGAUCGAAGAUGAUCAGAUACCGUCGUAGUCUCAACCAUAAACUAUGCCGACCAAGGAUUCGGGGGUGUUAAAUGAAUGACUCUCCGGGCACUUAUAGAGAAAUCAUAAGUAUUUGGGUUCCGGGGGGAGUAUGGUCGCAAGGCUGAAACUUAAAGGAAUUGACGGAAGGGCACCACCAGGAGUGGAACUUGCGGUUUAAUUUGACCCAACACGGGGAAACUUACCAGGUCCAGACACAGUAAGGAUUGACAGAUUGAGAGCUCUUUCUUGAUUUUGUGGGUGGUGGUGCAUGGCCGUUUCUAGUUGGUGGAGUGAUUUGUCUGGUUAAUUCCGUUAACGAACGAGACCUUAACCUAUUAAAUAGUAAUACGAACUUGUACUCUUUUGUACAAUUUGUUUGUAAAUGACUUCUUAGAGGGACUCUUCACAUACUGAGUGAAUGGAAGUUUGAGGCAAAAACAGGUCUGUGAUGCCCUUAGAUGUUCUGGGCUACACGCGUGUUACACUGAUAUACUCAACAAGUUAAAACUUUCCUUACCUGGUGAGGUUGGGUAAUCUUUUAAAUGUAUAUCGUGAUGGGGAUUGAUCAUUGUAAUUAUUGAUCAUGAACGAGGAAUUCCUAGUAAGUGCAAGUCAUAAACUUGCGCUGAUUACGUCCCUGCCCUUUGUACACACCGCCCGUCGCUUCUACCGAUGAAUGAUCCGAUGAGGACUUAGGAUGGUCUUGGAUCUUGGUUAUAAAAUGCCAAUCCAUUGUUUAUCAGAAUUCGUUCAAAUCUUAUCAUUUAGAGGAAGGAGAAGUCGUAACAAGGUU
rnacentral:rRNA from 1 species